AAAAAGCUUCACCGUAUCGCCUCCACUGGCAGCCAGCAGCCCCAUUGAUGGAUCCGCCAAGUUCAUCGUUUAGAAUCUCCCGUGACCAAAUUUCUUUCCCGAGAAAAUCGAGCAACCUAAACUCGAAUUUUCCCGGAAAAUCAAAUUUUUAGUAAUUGCAAAUCACAAUGCUAAAUAGAAUUUUGAGAAAUGUAGAUUGCUGGUGUUGAUGUUGGGGUUUGAUUAAUACAAAAAUGAAUAAACACUCCCUAAGACUGAGAGAAAGGGAUAACAAGAUGGAUGUUGAAAUUUGAAAAGGUACUAGAGAA
rnacentral:misc_RNA from 1 species